rnacentral:rRNA from 1 species
UACAGAGGUCUCAAGCGUUGUUCGGAUUCAUUGGGCGUAAAGCGUGCGCAGGCGGUUUUGUAAGCCAGAUGUGAAAUCCCCGGGCUUAACCUGGGAAUGGCAUUUGGGACUGCAAGGCUGGAGUGCGGCAGAGGAGACUGGAAUUCCUGGUGUAGCAGUGAAAUGCGUAGAUAUCAGGAGGAACACCGAUGGCGAAGGCAGGUCUCUGGGCUGACACUGACGCUCAUGCACGAGAGCGUGGGGAGCAAACAGGG